CGGCGAGUGAAGCGGUAAAAGCUCAAAUUUGAAAUCUGGUACUUUCAGUGCCCGAGUUGUAAUUUGUAGAAUUUGUCUUUGAUUAGGUCCUUGUCUAUGUUCCUUGGAACAGGACGUCAUAGAGGGUGAGAAUCCCGUUUGGCGAGGAUACCUUUUCUCUGUAAGACUUUUUCGAAGAGUCGAGUUGUUUGGGAAUGCAGCUCAAAGUGGGUGGUAAAUUCCAUCUAAAGCUAAAUAUUGGCGAGAGACCGAUAGCGAACAAGUACAGUGAUGGAAAGAUGAAAAGAACUUUGAAAAGAGAGUGAAAAAGUACGUGAAAUUGUUGAAAGGGAAGGGCAUUUGAUCAGACAUGGUGUUUUUUUAAUGUGCAAGUCUCUCGUGGACAUGUGCCUCUGGAAAUUAACACUGGGCCAACAUCAGUUCUGGCGGCAGGAUAAAUCAUUAAGAAUGUAGCUACCUCGGUAGUGUUAUAGCUUUUUGGAAUACUGCCAGCUGGGAUUGAGGACUGCGCUUCGGCAAGGAUGUUGGCAUAAUGGUUAAAUGCCGCCCGUCUUG
rnacentral:rRNA from 1 species